GCCGGGAUGGUGAAAUGGCAGACACGCCAGUUUUAGGAACUGGUUCCGCAAGGAUUGAGGGUUCGAGUCCCUCUCCCGGCA
rnacentral:tRNA from 1 species